CUUGCUUGCUGUUUUGAACAGUCUAUGCAAAUUAAUCAUGCAGCACACAGUCUCUAUUGUCUGAUUCUUCCACUGAACACAAUGCUUUCAAGGUGAUGGACAUAUGGAUUCUUCUGUUAGGGGCUUUGACAGACUGCUGUAGUGCUGCCGUUCAUGCACAUGAAGACGUCAUUUUUCAUAUAGAUAUAUGAGUAUGGCAAGGGAGAGGGAUUCUUCAACAGAACUUGGACAAGGAAGGAAGAGCAUUG